rnacentral:rRNA from 1 species
CGCGUAGGCGGUAGAGGGAAGUCAUGGGUGAAAGUCCUCGGCUCAACCGAGGGAUUGCCUGUGAAACCACCCUACUGGAGUGCUGGAGAGGGAAGUGGAAUUCCCAGUGUAGCGGUGAAAUGCGUAGAUAUUGGGAGGAACAUCGGUGGCGAAGGCGGCUUCCUGGACAGACACUGACGCUGAGGCGCGAAAGCCAGGGGAGCGAACG